GUGGCGGACGGGUGAGUAAUGCAUCGGGACCUACCCAGACGUGGGGGAUAACGUAGGGAAACUUACGCUAAUACCGCAUACGUCCUACGGGAGAAAGCGGGGGACCUUCGGGCCUCGCGCGUUUGGACGGACCGAUGUUCGAUUAGCUAGUUGGUAAGGUAAUGGCUUACCAAGGCGACGAUCGAUAGCUGGUCUGAGAGGAUGAUCAGCCACACUGGAACUGAGACACGGUCCAGACUCCUACGGGAGGCAGCAGUGGGGAAUAUUGGACAAUGGGCGCAAGCCUGAUCCAGCAAUGCCGCGUGUGUGAAGAAGGCCUUCGGGUUGUAAAGCACUUUUAUCGGGAACGAAAUACCACGGGUUAAUAACCUAUGGGGCUGACGGUACCCGAGGAAUAAGCACCGGCUAACUUCGUGCCAGCAGCCGCGGUAAUACGAAGGGUGCAAGCGUUAAUCGGAAUUACUGGGCGUAAAGGGUGCGUAGGCGGUUAGUUAAGUCUGUCGUGAAAUCCCCGGGCUCAACCUGGGAAUGGCGAUGGAUACUGGCUGGCUAGAGUGUGUCAGAGGAUGGUGGAAUUUCCGGUGUAGCGGUGAAAUGCGUAGAGAUCGGAAGGAACAUCAGUGGCGAAGGCGGCCAUCUGGGACAA
rnacentral:rRNA from 1 species